rnacentral:rRNA from 1 species
UACGAAGGGGGCGAGCGUUGUUCGGAUUUACUGGGCGUAAAGGGCGCGCAGGCGGCUCAUUUUGUCAGGCGUGAAAGCCCCGGGCUUAACCUGGGAACUGCGUUUGAUACGGAUGGGCUAGAGUUCGGGAGAGGAGAGUGGAAUUCCCAGUGUAGAGGUGAAAUUCGUAGAUAUUGGGAAGAACACCGGUGGCGAAGGCGGCUCUCUGGACCGACACUGACGCUGAGGCGCGAAAGCGUGGGGAGCAAACAGG